GCUGGAAUCGCUAGUAAUCGCGAAUCAGAAUGUCGCGGUGAAUACGUUCCCGGGUCUUGUACACACCGCCCGUCACACCAUGGGAGUCGGAAAUGCCCGAAGUCAGUGACCCAACCGCAAGGAGGGAGCUGCCGAAGGUGGAGCCGGUAACUGGGGUGAAGUCGUAACAAGGUAGC
rnacentral:rRNA from 1 species